GCAGUCGCCGCGGUAAAACGGAGGGUGCAAGCGUUAUCCGGAUUUAUUGGGUUUAAAGGGUCCGUAGGCGGACUUAUAAGUCAGUGGUGAAAGCCUGUCGCUUAACGAUAGAACUGCCAUUGAUACUGUAAGUCUUGAGUAUAUUUGAGGUAGCUGGAAUAAGUAGUGUAGCGGUGAAAUGCAUAGAUAUUACUUAGAACACCAAUUGCGAAGGCAGGUUACCAAGAUAUAACUGACGCUGAGGGACGAAAGCGUGGGUAGCGAACAGGAUUAGAUACCCCAGUAGUCCCUGUCUCUUAUAC
rnacentral:rRNA from 1 species